CUGAGCGUGGAGCCUGCUUGGGAUUCUCUCUCUCCCUCUCUUCUCUCUGUCCCUCCCCUGCUAGUGCAUGUGCCUGUGCACUCUCUCUUUCAAAAUAAAUAAAUACACAUUUUAAAUGAAUCUCACAGGUGGUUCCAGGUGUUGAACAUUGAGAUUUACUUUGGGACUUCAGGAUGUAAUGGAUAGGAAAGAACAUGGUCAUAGGAUUUGGAAAAGAUUCAGAGAAGCAGCCUCUGGAACAAAGAAGAUAAUUGGAGUUUUAGAAAAGACUGCGACAAAGAAGGAAAAACUAAAAAUUGAAAUCAGGAAGGUUGCUAAAGACCAUGUUUUAGUUUCUUUGUAUGUCAAAGAACAUGAGUAUUAAGGUAAAGCAUUUUAAGAUUCUGUUUUAUUUUUCUAACUUUCUUAUUUGCAUUUUAAAAAAUCUCUCUUUUCAUGUAAUAUUUAACAGUAAAAACCGUUUUAAACUCAAACUCUCUUAAAGACAGAAUCAAAAAGAGAAGCACACUAAAAUCCAUUCUUAGUGUAUCUGAAAGAUGAAAGUCUGCGUGCUGGUAACAAACUGGGCCAGAUAAACCAAUCCCCAAAGCCUGGAGAAAAAUUGCAUGAGAAAGCUUCAGAGCCAUCCCAGAGCAAAAGUGACAUGGUGCAGAUGUGAGCUGGUGGGGAGAUGGCUGUAUGUUUAGGAUUUGUUGGCUAUUUCCCUUCCUUUAUGUAUGGCUCUCCAUUCUAUGUUCUUUUUCUUCUUUGCCCUCCAGCAUUUCCUGCCUGGUGGGUGUGUUUACCUCUUGGAUCUCUUUUCAAUGUAAUAUAUUUUGCUGAGUGAUACCAAGUAUAUGCAGAUGAUCUCCAAAUUUAUGGCUCUGAGUUCUGCCCUUUAAUUAUCUUAAAUAUCCCACACCUUGCUUCGAGAGAACUUUUGUGUGUGCCCCACCAACAAUUCAGACUGAGUAUUUUCAAAGCCACAUUCAUUAUUCUUCACCAUUCUUCAUCAGCUACUUUUUCUAUAUUCCCUGUCUUAAUUAAUAACUUCAACAGCCAUACAAUCACUCAAGCAAGAAAUAUUAUAGCUUUCUCAAUUCCCUUCUGCUUCAUACCUCAAAUUCAAAAGUUCAUAUUCCAUAUUCAGGCCAGUCUUACUCUUCAAAAUGUCUCUGAAUUCAGUCUUACAAUGGCUCCCAUUUUGAUGACCCAUUUAAAGUCUUACCUGGAGGAGUACAGCAAGUUUCUAUUUUACUCAUCUUUAUCUUUUUGAUAUAUGAUCCAUUCUCACUUGUACUGAACAUAUUUCUUUGCAUUGAGGAGGGCAGUUGUUGGGAUGAGCACUGGGUGUUGUAUGUAAGCGAUGAACCAUAGGAAUCUACCCCAAAAACCAAGAGCACACUUUACACACUGUAUAUUAGCCAAUUUGACAAUAAAUUAUAUUAAAGAAAUAAAAUGAAAAUCUGAUAGUGAUUAAUGUUGGCACUUUGUCUACUGUAUAAAAUUCAAGACAUGGCGUCCACCUACUUUUCAACCUCAUUACUUGCCACACACAUUCAUGCUUUCUAAACUUAAGCCAUGCCAGGCUGUUUUCCUUUUCUAAAUAUGUUAUGCUGAGUCAGUUUCCGUUACUAUAUGAGUGGUUCCAAUAAACUCAUCAAGGCGGAAUUAAUCCUUCUCUCUUGUAUUUUCCCAUAUCACAUUCUCUUAUAGUGAGUAGCACUCAGAGUUGUUUAUACAAUAGUAGUAUUUGUCUGUGUAGCUUCAGAAACACACGCUAAUUGAAGGCAGAUCCACUGGGAUCUCUCCAUCCUUAUACCCUCAGGUGCCUUCUCUAAAAUGUACCACAGCAGUUUGCACAUAGGAGGUGUACUGUGAAUGUGCUUUAUUGAAUUGAAUGUCGCCUUCUGUUUAUCUAAAAGACUCCACUUAGAGCUCUAGCUCUCAGGUAGUCUCCUCUCCCGGAUUUGAAACAUCAAAACCCAUGCGUAUGCACAUAGAAAAUAACUCAAACAAUACAUAAAAAAAAUUCUUACCUGUGGUUACCUCUGGAGAGAAAGAUUGGGUGGAGGGGUGCAGGGUUAAACUUAACUUUUUCACUUCACGGUUUUCUGUACCUUUUACAAUAUUAUACUAUUUAUUUUAUAAGAUUAAAGUAAGUGAAACUCCUCAGCCCCUGUCUCAAACCCAGUCAUGCUUGUUUAAAGACUUGAAUAUACUUUAAACAAAUCUGAUGUUGAUUCAAGAAUAUGUUUCAAGAGUGGAGAAUUAUAGAAUCCUGCUGUCUACCUUUUUUAUUAAUCAGAAAGUUUUAUCAUGUCAAAUUUCUAAGGGAAAAACUGCCCUGAGAAGUGUUUAAAAUUUCUUGAAUGUGCACAUUAAAACAUUACUCCAGACUUUAAAACAAAAAGGUAAAAUUGAAUGUCUAUAGCUUACCAAUUGCUGUAACUUCUAAAUAUUUAAAAACAUAACUGUUUGAUUUGUAUGAUUAUAAUUUGAAUAACUUCUGUUUAAGAAUUUUUUUCUUUAUACCUCUCCAUAAGGCUGAGAAAAAAACAAUUGUUGUUAACAUAUUUAACCCAAGAUACAGUGUGUCAUUUGUGUCAUAAUUGUAAAAAAAGUUAUUUAGGAAUAUCUAUAAUUAGUCUAUCUAUAAUUUAAAAUAUAUGAAGAGUAAGAUCAUAAAAGGAGUGUUACACACAAUACUUUUAAUGAGCCAUAAACUUACCCUCUGUGAAAGUGCUGGCUUUGGAUGGGUCUUAUACAUAAUUUGUAACUUCAAUGAUAGGAUCUUCCUACUUCCUUUUACCCUUCUAUAAUUAGAGAUGUAUGAAACAUAAAUUAUUCUUUUAAUUUAUUGUUCACGUUGAAGAAUUACAUGUCAUGAAAUCCCUUGGUAUCUUACUAUUUUACCAACAGUGAUCGUGAGAUAAAGAAGAUGGUUCUAAGAACAGCUUGAGCUCCUUCUCAGAAGUCGACACUAACCUCCUGAGAGCACAUGUAGAAGGGAAGGAGCUGGCAAAUUAGGAAAUUACAGAUAAAGCCUCAGUGCCUUCGCUAGGCAUACAACACUCAGCCUAACUAAGUAAAUGUUACUUCCUUCCCCAGAAGACCCUGCACUAUUUUAGGAACAGAAGAUCAAUUGUAGGAUUUUUGUGAGGCUAAAAAAAUUAUUGGAUAACAUGAAAAAAAAAGGAAUGAAAAUAAAGGAUUCUAAGCAAGUAGAUUCUUCUUAAAUGUUCUUCCCACAUCUUGAGAUGAACAUACCCCAGAGGUUGACGAUUAUGAGAAUUUUAGCACCCCAUUCACCUAAGACAAGUAGUCUCUACCCUUGUAUGAAGGACUUUUCAGAGCCUUUAACAUAUGAAUAUGAACAGCAAAUGUCUAAGGAUGGCUUAAGGGCCUGGGUUUGAAUGAUCAUUUUUGGAAGGAAUAUCACAAAGCUGCCUGGAAUGCUUCCUAAGGAAUGAAUGGGAGUCCCUAAUUCGCCACAUUCUUGUCAGUAUUUGGUGUUGUCAGUAUUCUGGAUUUUGACCAUGCUAAUAGUGGCUGGUCAUUCAUAAUAAUCCAAGGUUGUGUUGAGUUCCUAAAAAACUGUUUCAGACAUAAUGCCAUCUGCAGAGAUACGACUGACAUACAUUCCAGCAAUACCUGAAACAGCCUAGACACAGGACUGGAUCCAUUAUGUCUUAGUCAUUUCCUGUUUGGAAAGCUUCUAUGUCUUUGAGAAUUUAAGACCAGAAAAGUCAAAUGGGUGUUCUCAAAGUCUUGCUGGAGAAACAAAAAACACUGAAGUAUCUUGUGGAGAAUCAUGGUCCCAAAUCACACUGGUCUCAAGGCCCUCCCUCCACCUGCGCGGAAGUCCACAGCCACCUGCCAUCUUCAGAGGUCUGAGAAACUGAGGCUGUGACACAUAAGAGCAACAACAACAAAUGUAAUAACACAGACCAUCUGUUAAAAGCCUGCAAGACAAUGGAUCCCAGGUAUUGAGGUAAAAAAUCCUGCAACAUUUCUGCAUUCCAGCAAGAGACUAUGAGCUACUCUCAUCUCAGGUAAGAAUGGAACUGCUUCACCAGAUGCAUGUGUUAGAGCAUGGAUUGUGCUGCUAACCUGUGUGGAGUAGCGUAUGUGAGCACCGCUAACCUGCCUGCAUAUGGAGUUUCCAGGCACCAGGCACCAAACAGAGGUAUAAAGCAUCUGGAAAGAGGGAGAAGUGACAACAGAAGCAGAAAUUACAGUGAUGUGAGCCGAAGAAUGAGGCAGCCCCUGCAAACCCAGGAGGCAAGGAGAGGGAUUCUUCCCUGAAGACUCCAGGACCCAGCCCUGCCCUCACCUUGAUGAUGUAAGCUUUUAAAUGAGAUAAGAAUAUUUUAGGCCAAAGAAGAAAAAGAGUUUAAAUCUAGUGUUCUCGGGUCUUCGAUGGAUGUUACAGCCAUAAGUCAAGAGAUGAUAGUUUCAUGCUCAUAUUGCAAAAUAUUAUUGGUUCUGAACAUACAAGAUAAUUCAGUCGAGUGCAGAGAAGUUGAGCGAAGUUGUCCAUGAUUGUACAGAUGAGCCAGGAUUUGAUUUCAGGAAAGUUGAUUCUGACUGAUCUUCUUGGUCCUCCGAGACCCUGCUUUAUCAAUUAACAAGCCUGGUGUAUGCAACGUACAAUGUACAGAAAGAGAUGAAGAAAAGAAUCAGAUCUCCUUUUGUAAGGAUACCAAAUAUAAACUGAAAGUGUCAAACUUAGCAGAAAGGUAACUUUAAUGAUAAAUGACUUUUACAUUUUCAAGGCAUUUUAUUUGUUUAAAAAAAUUUUUAAUGUUUAUUUAUAUUUGAGAGA